AAGAAGAAUAAGUUUACAGGGGCAAAGGAGUACACAUUGUUUUUUUAUAGCUGGCUUGAUGUCCCUUAUGAUGCCAUGCUACACGUCUGCACCUUCACUCGUCCGGAAGUACUCCUGAAAAUGGGGGGAUGUCCGCGAGCGGUCCUUGAUCAAAGGUGGUCUUGAGAAGCCGCCAAGGUGUGAGUAGCUUGACGGAAAGUUGGUCCUUUAUGGUACAUGCAUGUGUCCAAGGACGUUCAUGACCAUAGUUCGGUUUCGCCGAACACAAGGUCUCAUGUAAUCAGCGCCCACACCUGCGCAUGGUAUCUUAAGCGCAAAAUUGUGCCUUCAAGGCACAUAUUUUGC
rnacentral:lncRNA from 1 species